rnacentral:rRNA from 1 species
GAUGAACGCUGGCGGCGUGCCUAAUACAUGCAAGUCGAGCGAAUGGAUUAAGAGCUUGCUCUUAUGAAGUUAGCGGCGGACGGGUGAGUAACACGUGGGUAACCUGCCCAUAAGACUGGGAUAACUCCGGGAAACCGGGGCUAAUACCGGAUAACAUUUUGAACCGCAUGGUUCGAAAUUGAAAGGCGGCUUCGGCUGUCACUUAUGGAUGGACCCGCGUCGCAUUAGCUAGUUGGUGAGGUAACGGCUCACCAAGGCAACGAUGCGUAGCCGACCUGAGAGGGUGAUCGGCCACACUGGGACUGAGACACGGCCCAGACUCCUACGGGAGGCAGCAGUAGGGAAUCUUCCGCAAUGGACGAAAGUCUGACGGAGCAGCGCCGCGUGAGUGAUGAAGGCUCUCGGGUCGUAAAACUCUGUUGUUAGGGAAGAACAAGUGCUAGUUGAAUAAGCUGGCACCUUGACGGUACCUAACCAGAGAGCCACGGCUAACUACGUGCCAGCAGCCGCAGUAA